UUUUAAACAGAUCUUCCUGUUUUAAAAUAAUUAUCCUUUACUUGCUGAAGUCUAAUUCACAUGUAGCCAAACCCAUGGUUUGGCUUGAUUUUUAUAUUGAAAGGCAAAAGGCAAUUUUCAAUAGUUCAGUGUGUAUUCAUCUGUUUACCUGGGGCUUAGGGAUCAUGUAAGACAUGAGACAUAGUCACCACCGUAUUUUGUAUCGUUGUUGACUUUUUUUUUCUUUGCUUUGUCCUGCUUUGGAUGCACAGAGGCUUAUGACAAGAAUAUGUCUAAGUCAAUAUGCUGAAUAUUGGCCUUUAACUUGUGCCAGCUUUUUGUCUGUCUUCCUGACUUUCAGUUACACUGACUGUACAGUUUGGACUUGCAUUCUCAUAAUUGAUUUGAGGAUGAAAUUAAUUUUUAUGAAACCUUUGGCGUGAGUAUUGCCAUCCUAAACUAGAUGCAUUUUACUGAUCACAAUUUGUCAUCUAACACACUCUUUGUGUUUUAAGUGAGGUACAUUUUAUUUUUUCCAUCAUAAAUGGCCAUGAUAUAAAUUGUAUUCUACUUUGGAGAGAAUGAUUGAAGCUAUCUCCAUACAUAAAGCACUUUGGCUGAAAGGUGCUGUAUUCCUGAAAUAGUUUUUCAUUAUUUAUUGACUCACUACCCUAUAAUAAUUUUUCUGAAGCAGUUUUGAUCUGUUUUAUAAAUAUUGUGUUUUCAUUUUGAAAGUAUUUAGCAUGCUGGAAAACUUUCCACUUAAAAAAUUAUCAUAAUGGUCCUUCAAAAAGGGUUUUGUUUAAGUAGCCGGUAGUGAAACCUAUUCUCUGGACUCAGGCAAACAUUUGAGAACAAGUCAUAGCUGUGAGCAUUGUCAAAAUGGUUAAUAACGCCAACAUCUUAUACGCUAAGGGAAAUGAGUGGUGACAAAUUUGGGAGAAAAAAAGACAAGAGCAUUAUCAUUCUGAAAUGUAACCUUUUGCUUUAAAAUGUCAAGGAUAGGAUGUCAAAAACAGCUUUUUACAUCAUCAGGAAGAGUAAGUUCAUUUAAAAAUCCUGUUAAUGCUAGCUAAGUACAUGAAGUUCAAUAAAUCUCUGCUGAAUAUAUCGGCUUAUGAACAAUUUAGUUUGUGAUAUCUUAAGCCAGUCCUAGAACAGUAUUUUGCACAUAAUAGGCACUACUAAAUAUUUGUGUUAUGAUUGAAGGAAUUAAAAAACUAAUCAUCUACCCCAUAGUCACCAUUUUCAGGGUUGAACUUCCUGGAUCAUGUGUAAGUCCUUGAGGCCUUGGUUCUGACCUUCAAUCCUCAUCUGGUUCAGAGCCCUGCUAGCUGCGAAGCAUACACAUUUUAAGAAGGUGGAGAUUUUAAGAACAGUUCAGACUUGGCUAUUCAGCUUGUUCCUGCCAUUCAGAACAUAGCACACAAGAAAAGGUGUCUGUCUUUCCUGUAUAAUGGGCAGAUUUUGAAUCCUGGGCCCAGAAGGAUUGUCUGAAUUAUAAGGAAUGUCCUUUUGUGCUUUAGCAACUUGAAGCUUCAAUGGAAAGAAUCAGAACAGAAGCUUCAGUGGAAAGAAUCAGAAUACAGAGAAAACUUGGUGCUAGGACAAAAAUGAAGGAAAGAAUCAGCCCAAGAUGGUGAUACCAGGGUUACAGAGAGGCUGAAAUUUCAACCAUCAUUCUGUUAGAACUGCUUAGUAAUGCUUGGGUUGAAUUGGCUACAUUGGAAGCUUAGCUCAAUGCCUAUGUGCUGGUGUGAAAUGUGUUGCUUCUGUGAUAUGCCUGGUAUCUGCCAGCUAAAAGAACAGAAGACCUUCAGGGAACUAGAGAUUCUGAGAGCAAGGUGAGAGGAUUAUGCAUGAAGACACUGGGCUGUCAUCCAUGCUGCGGGUGGGUGAGAAUUCUCUCCACAUUAUUAUAAAAUAUAGCAACGGUAAAUAUAGAACAAGUUGUCAUCUUACAAAAUAAGUUUUUGCUACAAAUUUUCCCCCAAGUUUUUUGCUAUUUGGAGGCCUUGCAUGACUUGCUUCUCUUAUAGCUGCUUUGGGCCCUAGAGUCUACAUUUCAUCCUCAGUGUCAUGGUCUCUGCCACUUAGAGGCAGUUCAUUUUCACAAUUUAAUGACGUGUCUGUCAAAAGUAAUGAACUAAAUUGUUCAGCAGUUAAUUUAUAUUAAUUUUGAGAAAUGCAUUUCAGUUUUUGAUUAUGUUAAUAAGACUUUUACUUUGAGGGUAGAAUAUACUAGCAAAUGAAGAAGAUGUUACAAUCUUUAGCCAAAAAGAAACCAUAUAUUUUGCAAAGGAACAGAAAGGAUUUUGAAAGAGCCCCAGCAUCUAAAAAUCUUUUUAGUUGAAAUUAUCUUAAAUGUGGCCUAUAGUUUAAUGGGCAUUAUAUGGCAACAUUGCUCCCAGAUAAUGGCCAUUCCUAAAUAUCAUGACAUUAAAGCAUAGAAUAAAGAAUGUUCUAUGACAACUUUACAAUGUAUUGCAUACACAAAUUGAGGUAAUGAUAGUUGGGUGUUUUGUGCUAAUGGACUCAUUAUAUUGAUCCAUGGUAAGACACAGAUGCCAGCUCUCGCUUUGCUCAGUAUUAUAAACUACAACUGUAAUUGUUAACGAAAGAAUAUAUGGAAAGAGAAAGUUGGUGAGAACCUUGUUUACUUCCUAUGUCAAUAUUUUCAUUCCAAUAUACUCAACUGUGUCACAAAAAUUCAACACCAGAAUAGGUGUGUUGUUGUGAUUUUAAAUAUGAGUUACUCAGAGUUCAAAUUCAGGCUUGACUUGUAAACUUUCAGACCCUCAAUUUCCUCACUGACACAAAUUAAGAUUACAGUGUCCACCUUUCUGUUCCUAUCUUUCUGCAUUACUGUUAGAAAAACAUAUUUACAUGACUUUGAAAUGACAUCAGCAAGGAACAAAGUGGCAGAGUAGGAAGUAGCAGUAUCCAUCCCCCCAACCCCUCAAAAAAAAAAAAAAAAAAAAAAAAA